rnacentral:rRNA from 1 species
UACCAGCACCCCGAGUGGUCGGGACGAUUAUUGGGCCUAAAGCAUCCGUAGCCGGCCUUACAAGUCCCCCGUUAAAUCCAACUGCUUAACAGAUGGGCUGCGGAGGAUACUAUAAGACUAGGAGGCAGGAGAGGCAAGCGGUACUCAGUGGGUAGGGGUAAAAUCCGUUGCAUCAUGAAGACCACCAGUGGCGAAGGCGGCUUGCCAGAAUGCGCUCGACGGUGAGGGAUGAAAGCUGGGGGAGCAAACAGG